rnacentral:rRNA from 1 species
AACCCCUGUGACAUACCUAUACGUUGCCUCGGCGGAUCAGCCCGCGCCCUGUAAAAAGGGACGGCCCGCCCGAGGACCCUAAACUCUGUUUUUAGUGGAACUUCUGAGUAAAACAAACAAAUAAAUCAAAACUUUCAACAACGGAUCUCUUGGUUCUGGCAUCGAUGAAGAACGCAGCAAAAUGCGAUAAGUAAUGUGAAUUGCAGAAUUCAGUGAAUCAUCGAAUCUUUGAACGCACAUUGCGCCCGCCAGUAUUCUGGCGGGCAUGCCUGUUCGAGCGUCAUUUCAACCCUCAAGCUCAGCUUGGUGUUGGGACUCGCGGUAACCCGCGUUCCCCAAAUCGAUUGGCGGUCACGUCGAGCUUCCAUAGCGUAGUAAUCAUACACCUCGUUACUGGUAAUCGUCGCGGCCACGCCGUAAAACCCCAACUUCUGAAUGUUGCCCUCGGAUCAGGUAGGAAUACCCGCUGAACUUAAGCAUAUC